GGGGUUGUGGCUCAGCGGUGGAGCACUUGUUUAGUAUGUGGGAGGCACUGAGUUCAAUCCUCAGCACCCACA
rnacentral:tRNA from 1 species